GUCAGUACCGGGGCGGCUCCAACUGGAGGGGCUCCACCUUCGGGGAGGAACUGGGGAGGAGCCAACCCGGAACACCCUGGUAGGAUAGAUAAGGCGUGCCCCAGGGAGGGUGUGGAGGAGUUUUCUGAGAUUUCUGGCAGGCCAUGCAAUAAAGCUGCUGCUUGUUCAUUCCGGUGUACUGCCUGGUGAUUCUCCUCUCGCAUCCCCCGAGAGGAGCAGGACUCGCCCUGUGAGUUCAUUGAUGUACAGAACUCCUAAAGUGAAGGAAUCCCCUCUCCUGACGCAGCCUAACAAAUACUCUGAUUUGUUGCUCAGAGAUAUAUAUCCAUAUAUCCAGAUAUAUGGAUUCCGUGAG